GCUCCAAUGAGCUAAAUAUGCUUCAAUUUAAUACAUGUUCCGUAAGUACUUCUUACUUUUUCUGUUUCAGACAGUCUGCAAAGAACCUGGGAUACAAACCGAUACAGACCCUGCCUUCAGGCUUCUCAAAGGAGAGAAAGACACAUACACAGAGCCGGAGACCUGAAAUGUGACGGCCUCAGCUAUGCCAGGAACAAGAGGAAACCACAGAGUUCAUAUUACAUGUAUUAGGCUUUUUUUCUUCCCAAGCAUCAGUUCUCAACAGGCUCAGGCAGACCUUGGAUGAUGGAAUAGCAUCCUCCGAAGAAGGCUGUCCCCUUCUGUGGCCUUGCCACACAAAGGACAGUAACACCAGCAGCGUAUAUUUCACUUGGCUGUGAUAUAGCACAAUUGCAUUUUGUCAGCAGGCUGGAAGUGGCCAGCCCAGAGCUGGGAGCUAUGGAGAACAUUCAUUUCUUCCACCACAGACAGCUCAGCCACAGACGUGGGUGAUAGAGAGGAAAUUGGCAUUGACCUUGAUGCUUUGCAAGGAGCGGAUGGGACUUCGAGUCUGGUUAGCAAAGAAAAAUGAACCAAGCAUCCUCAGUAGUGUCUGAAGAGCAAGAACUGGGCUCAACAGAAUUCUUCAGUCUCCCUGCUCACUGCUGUGGGUGUGCACGUGCAUGCAUGUUCUGCAUGCACGAAGACAUGCACACAGGCUGUGUCUGACAUGCAUGGGAGAGGCCUGGUGCCCUUGUUCAUGCUGGAACUCCCUGUGCAUAUUUGGCAUUUGACUGACAUGUGAAGCUCCCACAGACAUCAGAACAGUAGCUCAGAAUGCAUAAGAGAUAGUUUGCUGUUGAUAAGAAGACACUUGGAGAGGAAAAUGUUACUAAGACUACUUUCCAGUCCCUCCAGGAGUCCUUCAGAGAAAGGAAGUCCCUCUUAAGAAAGUCACCUGAGAGGUGAGGAAUAAAGCUAAUGCAGCCAAAUGUAUAACUUGCA
ensembl:lncRNA